UACGUAGGGUCCGAGCGUUGUCCGGAAUUACUGGGCGUAAAGAGCUCGUAGGUGGUUUGUCGCGUUGUUCGUGAAAACUCACAGCUCAACUGUGGGCGUGCGGGCGAUACGGGCAGACUAGAGUACUGCAGGGAAGACUGGAAUUCCUGGUGUAGCGGUGGAAUGCGCAGAUAUCAGGAGGAACACCGGUGGCGAAGGCGGGUCAUCCUGGGACC
rnacentral:rRNA from 1 species